GAUGAACGCUGGUGGCGUGCCUAACACAUGCAAGUCGAGCGAUUCUCUUCGGAGAAGAGCGGCGGACGGGUGAGUAACGCGUGGGUAACCUGCCCUGUACACACGGAUAACAUACCGAAAGGUAUGCUAAUACGAGAUAACAUGCUUUUAUCGCAUGGUAGAAGUAUCAAAGCUUUUGCGGUACAGGAUGGACCCGCGUCUGAUUAGCUAGUUGGUGAGGUAACGGCUCACCAAGGCGACGAUCAGUAGCCGACCUGAGAGGGUGAUCGGCCACAUUGGAACUGAGACACGGUCCAAAAUCCUACGGGAGGCAGCAGUGGGGAAUAUUGCACAAUGGGCGAAAGCCUGAUGCAGCAACGCCGCGUGAGCGAUGAAGGCCUGCGGGUCGUAAAGCUCUGUCCUCAAGGAAGAUAAUGACGGUACUUGAGGAGGAAGCCCCGGCUAACUACGUG
rnacentral:rRNA from 1 species